GGGAAAGGGGAGGGAGGAGGCAAAGCGCUGCUAUUUUUAAAGGCUUGCAACUUUUUCAUAGUGGGUGUUUCUUAAUGUGUGUCCUGACUUUUUCAGUGGAGAUUUCUAACAACCAAUGUAAUGGAGUUCUAUUGAAUUUAUUAUGAAAAAUACAUUUUCAGUAUCCUUCAAUCCUUAUCAUUCGCACAUACCUUACAGAAGAACAUUUUUCCUUUAAGUAGUUCAGGUAGACUUUAUUCAUUAAUAAAUGCUUUUGGUUUUCUUGUAUUUAAUCGCCACUAUAAAUUCAUUUAGCUUCUGAAUUUAUAUCCGAGGCUUUUGCAAGCUUGCUUUGUACCUUGCGCUGGAGCAUCUGCAUUCAGACCCCAGCUGACGAGCUGUAGAUAGGUGAAGCAGAAUAGAAAGCAACUUGUACUUCCAUAGUUACAUUGACUCAGCACUGCUGAGAGUGGGUCUAAAUGCUGCUCUCGUUUUUCAUCUGCCAGCUCUUUUCCUGCAAGACUUCAGCUUUAGGCUUUUGGUUAGAUAUUUUGUGAGACAUGGGAGCAACAUUGUAAUCCUAAAUUUCAUUUAUGCAAAGUAAUCUAAAUGCAGCUGAAAUCCUGAAAAUUUUAGCAAGCCCAGAUAAUUUUAAUUGAGUUGUAGUUGAAGGGAAUAUGAUGCAUUAAAAGGAUAUAGCUUCAGCAAGGGUACCAGAUUUUUACUUGUUAACUUGCCUGAUUUACAUUUGUGGGUUGUGGUGGGGGUGUUAUGUUUUGGAACUUAGGUUCACAGGCAGUGUAAGACCUAAUGUGCUGUAGUUUUAAGCUUGCAUCUUACUUACCAGUUGAACCUGAAAAAUGCAUAUUUACAGAUACAAUGCGUAUCUGUACGAGGACUUCUCAGUUAUAAUUUAUAGGUGGAGAAGGGCAUUUAAUCCAUGUUGAGAAACAAAUAAUCGUGGUACUAUUUUCUUGGGGGUUUUGAAUGACAGCUAUAUGCUUAUAUUGAUACAAAACCAUGUUCUGAAAAUCUCUGAACUUUAGUUGUACCUGAAAGCCAAUUGGCCAAGUCUCUAACUUGGUAGGUAUCUGCAUUUUACAUAUUGCCCUUGCUCUUUUGUUUUCUUUUUGGAUGAAAGAAUCCUUGUGUUUUACCAUAAUUAGAGAGUAAUUUUAAUUACUCUCCCAAGAAGUAGAAAAGCCAGUUGAAAUUCCCUCUUUGGGUGAAGAGAUGCACACUUGAGUCUUCUGCUUCCCUGGUCUAACCACCACAUACCAGACCAGCUCAGCUAAGCGAGUCCUUCGCACCACCCGAUGAAGCUGUGUGACCUUAGAGGAGUGAAUGACAUGUUCAUGAAUGAAAGAGAGGAAACAAAUGGACCUUCACUUAACUCUGAAGCUUAGUGGUUAGAAGAGAUUGAGAUCACUCUUGCCACUCUAGUUUCUGUUCUCUUUAAAUGGCUAUUUAAUAUUAGCACAUAAAUAGGCUUAGUCUGAAAUCCAGCUCUGCCAGCUUGCAGAGAACUCCCCUAAUGGCAAAACUAUGAAGUUGAGCUUCCUUGUGUAGUGUGUGUAAGCCUUUCAGUCAUGCUGCACAGCUCUAUCAAAAGUGGAGGAUGUCUCCAUAGCUUUUAAACAGGUAAUUAAAAUUCUUUCCUGGGAAAUGUUUCAAAUGUAAACAGUAUUCUUCUUUUCAAAGUAAAAAAAAAAAUAGUUUUGUUUAGAACUUUCUUAGAGAGACCAGGUGCUUUACUUUCAGAAGGGAGCCCUGCCAGUUCUGAACGGAGAGGUGCACCCCCAGCAGCUCUGCCUAGACCAAGGAUGAGGAAGAAGUUUCAGAAGUGCUUGCUGUACUCUGGGCCAGAGUUUCCUGCAGUGCAGAGUGCUGCCAGUGUUGGAUGAAGGAUCACGGUGGGACAAAAUCACAGCUGCCAUUCUUCCUCCUCCAGAUGCUUCAUCUGAAAUGCCUUCAUCCAGUCUCAGUUUGGGUACCUAAUACUGGUUUCUGGACCCUGCUUGUUCCAAAUAGGUCCAUUAAACUCAUUUCUUGAUUCUUGUAUAUGCUGAAGGUUUGUACUUCUAGGAAGAUGGAGUGUACAUAAGGUAGUUUUGAAGACUACUUACUUUCUGUGUUCAAGAAAGAUAAAGAGAAUCAACUGCUGCUUUACUGCCUCCUGGUGAGGUAAUACACAAAUUACCUGUGCAUUGGUAGGUGCUGCAGCUCUGGGGCCUUCUUCCUUAGAUUUACAGGCUUGGCAGCAAAGAAUUGACUUAUUUAUGCUGCUGACAGAACUCACCACAGUUUCAGAAUGAGCCGUUUUCUGGAGAAACCUUCUAUUUGUCAGAGCAGGGCUAAAUUGGAUGAGUGGGCCCAUGCCAACAAAGGUCUGCAGUGAAGGAGGAAGAGAAGCUGUCAGAACAGAAUGGAAGUGGUACACCCCAGUUAGAUGUCAAGGUGUAGAAGUAAUUAAUGAGUACGAAGAUUAGGUAGUGUAAGUUUUAUUUUUGUGGAAAAAGGAGUUAGGUGUCUUCUAACACUUUUGUGUUUGUCUGUUUCUGUGAGUAGAAAACUAUCUAAAGAGAAUCUACUGGUAUUUGCCAAAUACUGAAUUUUAAUUUUUAAUAUGACUGUCAGUGUUUUUCUAUUAUGAAGAUAUGUUCAAAACUCACUGGAUUUCAAUUCUAGGUGCUUGCUUAGCCUUUAAUAGUGUAAUUUCUCAAUCUAUUCUACAGGCAUUUUUAUAGUAUUUUUUUUAGUUGAACCCCAUUAAAUAGGAAAGUAUUAUUAUUUCUAUUCAAGCAGAAAACUAGAGACUAGAGAUAAGUAAGAGCUCAAAGUUAAUUCAGAGUUCUUCACUUGCAGUAAUUUCUCUAGAUGUCUCAUCUGUGCUUUAAUACAGGACUGUUGCGUUCAUAUUUUAGAGACUAACUGAGCCUACUUAAAGAAUUUCUCAAAAGUGCUAUUUUAUUCCAAGUAGUGAAAAAACCUUCCUUUUCAUUAAUCUAAUGCUGUUUUCUCUGGAAGAAAAAAUACUAGAAAAUUUAUGUUAUUUAGAUUGGCUGAAGAUGCAGACUAAAUUAUAUAAGUAUAUUGCUAUGAAAUAUCACAGAAAUGUGUCUUUGAGUGGACAAUGUUCUUUGUAGCUGUGGUUUAUGAUCAGGAUGAAAAUUUGCCUCCCAGUCUAGGGAUUCUUUGUAGCAAUUUAAAACAUAUGAGAGAUGUAAUUAUUUAAAUUUAUUAAUUGUGAAAUCAGCAUCUUCAGUCUAUGAUAAUUGAUGUAUUUAGUGACUUAAUGGUGUAUAAAACUGUAUAUGAAAUUACAACUUGCUCAAAAGUGUAGUUGAAAAUACUGCUUUCCAAGUACUAUGAGAUCAAAGUACGUUUUUUAUUCCAAGAACAUAAGACCUCUUUAAACAAGGUUGAAUUUUUCAGUUUUCUGAAAUUCUAUGUAUGUUGCAUCCUUAUUUUCAGAAUUUUUUUCCCUACUUUUGAGAAGUAAUUAAAGAAUUCUUCAUAAGCACUUCAACAUAAACAAUUGUUCAUAACACCUUCAACCACAAACAUGGCUGCAGCCUUUCAGGAAGAAACACUGAAGUGUUUGGUAGAAGCAAAAUAUGGAAAAUCCUGUUUCUUCUGAGGUGUACUGUAUGCAAAGCUUGACAAAUGUCUAUAGGGAUUUUCGUAGGUGAUAGCUGUGUAGAGAUGGCAGAAAUAAGCACACAAUGAAAUCCUUAAAUCUUUUUUAGCAAGAAUUCUUUUUCUUGCAAUAAUCUUAAUAUAAUGGAUUGUUCUGAGUACUCAUCUUUGGGUAUAAAAAGGCAGCGUGGUUAAAAAGCAUGGGCCCCAUUCUCCCCUUGGUCAAGCUGCCAGCCACUCUUGAGCACCCAUCAGGUGAAAUUUAGGACUUCAUUGGAAGAACAGAUUAACAGAUUCUAAAUAUCAGCGAGCAUUUAUAUGUAUUUAAGUACAAUAGAACUCUACAGGCCCCCCUUUUCCCUUUUUUAUUUUUUUUUCUUAGUUAAGGGACACCUAUGGAUAGCUGCUUCUCAAGAGCCUCAUCGAUUUGUAAGAACAAAAUGUAAAUACUUUAAGCAUCUGUAGAGAUAGAAAGGAGUGGUAGACAGAAGUAGUCAGUCACACCUAACUGACUCAUUGUAUAUAGUAUCAGAACCUUCAGCUGUCUGGCCAUCUCCUGUGCUUCGUUGGGGAACUGAUAGGUAGACUGUCCUCUAGGAAGUGUCUGUAAUAGAAAGGGUACAAUUCAGAUUUGUGCUCCUGUGUUUUUAAAGUAACUUUAGAGACCAAAAGAAGCAUCGUAUAGAGUUUAGAUUAAUUUUGUGUCUGUGUGAAUCUACCUUUGUUUUAAUUUGAAAUUAAUGAACUAAUUCUGUCAGGUAAAAUUACAGGUUCCUACAAGUCAUAUACAGACAAUCCUUUAAAAAAUGUCUCUGGCAAUGUGCAAUUUUAAGCUAUAGAAGAUUAUUUUAAAGUUGUUUGGCUUAGUCUUAAACUCAGAUAUUUCAAAGUCUUCGUGCAUCUUCAGAACAUAUAACCUUUAACGUUUUCCUGCAGUAACUUUCGCAUUUAAUUACAUAUUUGCAGAGUUCUCUUGACUCUUCCCCCCUACACUCUCCCACUCUCACGUUCUUGACGGUCUGAAAUAUCCAUAUUACUUCGAAUUUCUUUCAGUGGAAAAUGUGAACAUUGGAGACAAUGCUUAUAAUCAGUGUUCUAAUGUGUUGGGUUUUUUUUGGCUGUUUCCCUGUUCCCUACCACCUCCAUGGCCUAGUCCAGAUAAGUUUAUAGGUAUUCCUUCCCAAGUUUUACUUAUCUUUCUCUGUAAGGUAAAGUGACAUGAUAGUUUUCAUAUACGAACACUGAAUAAAAAUAUUUUUUAUCCCCUCCUGCUUUUUAGGUGUUCUUUGGACUUAUAUUGAAAAAGCCAGGUGGUAUGUGAUGAUAACAUUUUGAGAGAGAAUAGGGAAGCAAUUGGGACUGCAGUGCUGAAUUAUCCUGGCACGUAAUGACUUGUAUAAAGAUUUUAAGGUAUGAGAAGGUGCCAGUAAUUCUGGUUGGUAAUAAAGUGGACCUGGAAAGUGAGAGAGAAGUAUCAUUGAGUGAAGGCAGAGCCUUAGCUGAAGAAUGGGGCUGCCCCUUUAUGGAGACCUCUGCUAAAAGUAAAACAAUGGUGGAUGAGCUCUUUGCGGAAAUUGUUAGACAAAUGAACUAUGCAGCACAGCCAGACAAAGAUGAUCCAUGCUGUUCUGCAUGUAAUAUACAAUAGCAUUAAAAAUGACCUAACCUGGACUUAAUUUGCAGAAAUUUUGUAAGGUGGUAAAACUGUCUACUUCACUUCCUGGUUUGUGGGUCACUUGAAAUACAUCUGUAGUGAAGUAGCAACAUUAACUCAGAGCUGAGCAUUGAAAGUCAAUCACUGACUCUGAAUAUAAUUGGGUUAAAUGACCACAUCUCACCCGUUUUUUCCCUUUGAGCACCUGCAAUUUUAUGGCACAGUCAGUUGAUCUACAGGGUCGUUCCAGUCGAACGUACGUGUGUUGUCACGUCAGACAGCAACAACAGCAACUAUUUCUGAAGAGGACAGAAUCCUUUUGGAAACGGGAGAUGAAAGCAGUGGAGAGGAUAUCUCUGAAGACCUUUCAUGACAAGCAUAACCACGAAAAGGAGAGCCAAGUCUUUUGGUGUCUGAUUGCCACGCUUCAGAAUGGGCACUAUCACAUGCGGCUGAGUUUGUUCAGUCAGUUAUGUUGAUUUCACCAGAACUUCUGACAGUGUUGGAGGAAAAGGCUACCAGAGACCCAUAUAGUUUGGAUUCUUUUCAAAAUCAAUGCUAUUAUUUCUACACUUUAUCCCACAUCUUGAAAUACAAAACAUUGAAUCAGUGUGUGAAAUGAGAGGCAAGAUCUGGAAACAAGUGACGGGUGAACAGUCUGGCAUUGGAAUGUUUUAAAUCUUUCAUUUUGCUGCUCAAAAAUGGAGGAUCGCUUCAGGUUUUGGUCUACAGAAAGCCAAACAAACCCUCUGUUUACAAAGCAGGAAGCAUCUUUAUUUUCACUUUACUGAACCAGGAGGAAGCAACUGUGAUGAAAAAAAAAAUUGCUGAGCCUUACUAACAAGGAACACUUUAAUAGAUUAACUAGUACCAUCUUGUAAGGAAAAUUAAGCCAUGUUUCAUCCAUAUGUUCCCUUCUGCAGAAACCUCGUGGGACAGUAUGAACAUCCUGCAUUUUUAAGUUUGUUAAAGACAACAGUUCUUCUUGCCUUUAAGGGCUACAUUCUCUGGUGUGAUCCCAAACUAACCUUUGAAAAUCCAGUUUGCUAUUUGAUAGCUUUAAUGUUGAAAACUUAAAUUGAAUAACCAUGUGAAAUCAUUUGGUUCAGAGGUGAAAUAGUUACGGUUGUAAUUCCUUAGGUGAGUGUGGACAUGGCUCUUUAAUUGCCUGACACACUACUCAAAGGUUGCCCCAAUUAUUGGAGUGUUUAAUGGUGGGAGCAAAUAUUUUAUUUGGAAAGGAUGCUCGAGCUCUGACUUGCUAGUUUCAUAGCAGUGAAGUAUUUAUCAUUUGCAUGACUAAUGGCACAGAAAUACCUAUUUCAAAGUCUUACAAUCAAAGUAUAGAAAAGUUUUCAAUCGCAAUGUUUAGAUUUUAAAUGCUGGAGAGAUUGUCUUGAGCUGGAUCUUUUAUAGGUAAAAUUGGCCAUAAAAAUACAGUCACUGAGCCUGUGGUCUAAAUAACACCAUGCGUUUAUUAGUUUUUAAAUCUUGUGCAGUAACAGUGUAGUUCCUUGUGUUUAAAUGAGUGAAAAUAGGGGUGCUGGGCUGUGUGUGUGUGUGUGUUGAGUGUGUAUGUGUGUGUGUAUAUGGCCCUUAGAAAUGCUGUAAUUGGAGUUAGGUUCGAGAGUUUUGCCUCCAUCUGCAGAACUUCCUAAAAGCGCUCUCAUCUGCCACAAAGGACACUGGAGUAGAAAACACUUUGCAGAUUUCCAUAACAUAAAUAUCCUUAACAUUUUGAAUUAUAGGUCACUGGAUGAUAACUAAAUAAAAUCAUAUUCACAGAAGAGAACUGGCCAACUCUGCCCUUAAUCUUUCAAGACCUUUCCACAACCAGUGUGACGAAGGGCAUUAGAUGUCACAGAACAUUAAGCCUUACUAGAAAGUAAAUGUAGCCCAUUUCCCAUCUACUUUGCAGAGCUUUUGUUACUGUACUUUGUUCUCUUAGGGAGAUAGGCACACCGUUUAUUUCUGGCAUCUGAAUGCCCAUUUUGGGUGCUCUGAAUCGCCCUCCUAGAGGCACCUACCUCUUUCCAUUGACUGUAUAGCAAACUUAGGCGUUUAACUUUAGUCCUCCAAGUCACACGACUCACAUGCCUAAACUAGAUGGUAUGAAUGUUCUCUUACCACCCCCUGCCUGCCCAUUGUGUCAGCUGCCAUGCUUAAACAAGAUGUGAGAUGUUGGAUUAACAAUAUUUCAGGGUUUCACAUAUCUAGAUUGGGAAACGGUUAAUCAAGCAGCACAAUCCAUCCGUAAAACAGCUUGUCAGUGUGCAAUCCACUGCGCAAGCACUCAAAAAAGGAAAACUACAAAAAACAAACCAAAGCCAAGUUUUAAACUGAGUUGGAAGUGCAUGUUAUGCGAGGUUAUUUACAGAGAUGUUAAAAAUCUUACCUCACAGAUUGUUCAUCAACCAAGAAAAUGGCAUGAACUAGAGUAUGAACAGCCUAAUAUGAAGUUCAUAAUAUAAAGCAGAUGGGCUUUAAAUAUAGGAAAAAUUGCACAUUAAAUUUUUAACAGAAAAUAUUAAAAUAUCUCCCACUUUUGUUUCUUCAUUACAUUCACAUUUUCAAGAGCAUAGGCCAUAUGGAAGCUACCAUGCAACUUGGGUGAGGGGGCAAAGUGUAAGUGUCGUUUUUCAUUGUAUAGUUCUGAGGAAGUAGUUAUGCACUAUUUGUAUUUCCACUAAUGUGAAGAUAGUGGAGCUUGAAUCAAUGACAGUUGCACUCGACAGAUUUUUCAAGUUAUAGGGGUAGCAGAAAGGGAGGUGGGUGAGCCACAUGGCGGCUGCAUGGCCACCCUGCAGGAAUCACUGGUCUUGGGUCACUGUUUCAUUUGUACCCUGAUAGGAUUACCAAUUAUAGUAUUUGAAAGUUUCUUAUAACAUGCCUUAAAAUAUUAUGAUUUGUUCCAAAGACCCACUUUUCCUUUGGCUGUUCUUGUAGAGCCUUGUACUUUUCUACAAAGACAGCAUUUCUCCAGUUUUGUUGUUUUUUUUAAGAAAAAAGUUGCAACUUUUAUUCUUUUAAGCUAUGAUAGUGAGAGCAACUGUUUCCUCUUUCCCUUAAAAAUACACACAAAAACAAAUCAAAGCAAACCAACCAGAAUCAGAUCAAGAGUAUUAAAUAUGACUUGCAUUGGAUUUUGUUUGGGAUUUUUCUGUUGUGCCCAUCCCCCUGCCCACCCCUUCAGAGCAUCAAAAAAAGAAAUUUGGUGACAUUUUCUGUUCUGAUUCUAGCCUCUCCCUAACCCCAGUGCUACAGUUGCCAUUACUUUUCUGUGGGAAAACUACUGGUAUUUGCUUUCCUGUAUAGAAUGUUGCCUAAAGAUGUCAGCCAUUUGGUUGGGGGGUUUUGUGCAUGUUUGUUUUUAAUUUUUUUUUUUUUUUUUUUUACCAGUGUGCCAUCAAAGCACUGGUUAGGCUUUAAUUGUGAAACUCCGCAACAAAUGCAAAUGUUUGACAACUGCAGGAGGCUUUUAUCUGCAUUGUUGUGCAUCUGUUAAUUCUUGAUCAGGGUUUGAAGAAAGACUGAAGUGGGUUCUGGAGUCAGACUUAACGCUGUUGAUUUGGAGUUUCCUAGGGGUGAAUUAAUGUAUUUCACAGUUAAUUGUUGAGCUCUAAUACAACUGGCAAUUUAAAAUGGGGCAACAGUUUGUUUUGUAACAAUGUCAGUUGUUUAAACCUUGAUGUUUCAAAUAAAACAAGAAUUGUACAUAGAACUCAAUGCAAACUCAGCAGUUGUAUUUGGAGUUAAAUUAUUUUAACAAAUAAAUUUAUUUAAUGAAA